rnacentral:lncRNA from 1 species
AUCCGUUGAUGGAAGCACCAGGAUACAAGGGGAUUAUCAUCAGAAAUAAGGUGGACGUCAAGGUAAAACUUAGUAUUGCUCACCAUAUCUCUCAACAUCCCAAAUACCAUAACAUCAAAACCUCAAUUAUCUCAGACGGAGCUAAAACCUAUACCAUAACCUCAGAAUCCUGAUAUCUAAAACCCUAGGGUGACUCAAUAACCCUAGUAUUCCCAUCAAAAAGAUUUGUACCUUUUGAUCGUCCAUCCAUGCUUUCGGGUUUUCUUGAUAGAUUAAUCCAUGACAAUAAUUCAACCCAUCGUUCAAGAAUCAUCGCUACCAAAACUCUCAAGAUAGAGUUCGAGGAAAGAAAGAAGGCGACGGGGGGAUUUGGAGAGACUCACUCGAGACGGCGCGAGGCUGUUCAUUUCCGCGAUUGCGACCUCAUGGCUUCGUAUCUACAAGAAGAGGGAGAAGAAGCAUCAGCGGCCGCCGCGCAUGCCAUUCCACGGUGAUAACAAAACUGCUCACGAUCGGGCGAGAAAAGUACUAUCAAAGAGAGACACCAUCGAAAAGAAGAAAGCUUCGAAGCAAACCUUUUUGGCGAGUUCGAGUCUAGAGUCCUCCGCCCCGGAGGCAGCCCGAUACGACGAAGACGAGGACGAGGAAGCCAUUCCGUUCGACCCGGAGGCGAAGGAGCAGGGUUGCCCGAGGUGUAUUUACCGGCAGCAAGCGAGGCAUUUGUCGGCGGAAUAAUCGGUAAAAAUAAGAGAAAAUAUAUUGUAA